UACGGGAGGCAGCAGUGGGGAAUAUUGCACAAUGGGCGAAAGCCUGAUGCAGCUAUGCCGCGUGUAUGAAGAAGGCCUUAGGGUUGUAAAGUACUUUCAUCGGGGAGGAAAAAACAAAACUAAUAAUUUUAUUUCUUGACGUUACCCGAAAAAGAAGCACCGGCUAACUCCGUGCCAGCAGCCGCGGUAAUACGGAGGGUGCUAGCGUUAAUCAGAAUUACUGGGCGUAAAGAGCACGUAGGUGGUUUUUUUAAAGUCAGAUGUGAAAUCCCUGGGCUUAACCUAGGAACUGCAUUUUGAAACUGAAAUACUAGAGUAUCGUAGAGGGAGGUAGAAUUCUAGGUGUAGCGGUGAAAUGCGUAGAUAUCUGGAGGAAUACCUGUGGCGAAAGCGGCCUCCUAAACGAAUACUGACACUGAGGUGCGAAAAGCGUGGGGAGCAAACAGGGAUUAGAUACC
rnacentral:rRNA from 1 species